rnacentral:rRNA from 1 species
GGGUGCCGGUAAUAGAGUUUGAUCAUGGCUCAGUAAGUCGUAACAUAUGGCUGCCUGUUCAAUCAGGUAUGUUCUGGACUGCGACGGGUCAAAUAACACGUGGGCAACCUACCUAUAUAGUUUGGGAUAACUCCGGGAAACCGGGGCUAAUACCGAAUAAUCUGUUUCACCUCAUGGUGAAACACUGAAAGACGGUUUCGGCUGUCGCUAUAGGAUGGGCCCGCGGCGCAUUAGCUAGUUGGUGAGGUAACGGCUCACCAAGGCGACGAUGCGUAGCCGACCUGAGAGGGUGAUCGGCCACACUGGGACUGAGACACGGCCCAGACUCCUACGGGAGGCAGCAGUAGGGAAUCUUCCACAAUGGGCGAAAGCCUGAUGGAGCAACGCCGCGUGAGUGAAGAAGGAUUUCGGUUCGUAAAACUCUGUUGUAAGGGAAGAACAAGUACAGUAGUAACUGGCUGUACCUUGACGGUACCUUAUUAGAAAGCCACGGCUAACUACGUGCCAGCAGCCGCGGUAAUACGUAGGUGGCAAGCGUUGUCCGGAAUUAUUGGGCGUAAAGCGCGCGCAGGUGGUUUCUUAAGUCUGAUGUGAAAGCCCACGGCUCAACCGUGGAGGGUCAUUGGAAACUGGGAGACUUGAGUGCAGAAGAGGAUAGUGGAAUUCCAAGUGUAACGGUGAAAUGCGUAGAGAUUUGGAAGAACACCAGUGGCGAAGGCGACUAUCUGGUCUGUUACUGACACUGAGGCGCGAAAGCGUGGGGGAGCAAACAAGAUUAGAUACCCUGGUAGUCCCCGCCCGUAAACGAUGAGUGCUAAGUGUUAGGGGUUUUCGCCCCUUAUUGCUGCAUCUAACGGAUUAACACUCCGCCCUGGGGAGUACGGCGCAAAACUGAAACCCAAAGGAAUUGACGGGGGCCCCG